GUGUAACAGUAAAAGAAAGAGAGGAGAAAGGAGAAGAAGAAGAAGAAGAAGAAAAAGAGAAACAAGAAGAAGAUGAUAGAGAGAUAAAGAGGGAGCUUAACUAUCUAAGGGAAUUUUGGACCAAGCUUGCAGCUAGGAUGAUGAAUCCAAAUCAUAGUCUGUUAGGCCUGGGGCUCUCAAGGUGAUUUCACUAGUCGACGAAACCAUCAGGACCAAUAGACCACCUUCUUAAGUUAAUGUUUUUAAAACAAUCUGAACUAUAUUUUUAUAGUUCAUUUUUCAUCACUUCUUGGUGAGCUUUUGGUUGUUAUUCCAAACGUGUGGAGCACCAUCCUUUGGCACUUCCCCCACAGUUUCACCCUCUUACUUCAAGAUUUCAGUGAACCCGGAAGACUUGUCCAAAGAUCUGAGUCACUUUCCUAGUUUCUAGAUCCUUAAAUUCUUGAUGUUUGAUGUAUUUAUGUUUAUUUUAUCUUUUUGUUAAAUGAUGUGUUAGAUCUGGGAAUCUAAAUUUUCUGACAUUUUUUUAUGAUGUAAUUGAUGUCCUACCAACAGGGAAAUGCCCCAGGAUUUUGUAAUCGAAUAUUAUAUAUAAAUAAUAUUUCAUUUUUUUAAGAUCA